rnacentral:sRNA from 1 species
GGGGCUGUUGUGGUUCCGACUAUAAACAGUACGUGUUUGGAGGCUGGGCCUGGGCCUGGUGGUGUAUCUCCGACACUCAGAGGAUUUCCCUAGAGAUUAUGACGUUGCAGCCCCGCUGCGAGGACGUAGAGACGGCCGAGGGGGUAGCUUUAACUGUGACGGGUGUCGCCCAGGUGAAGAUCAUGACGGAGAAGGAACUCCUGGCCGUGGCUUGUGAGCAGUUUCUGGGUAAGAAUGUGCAGGACAUCAAAAACGUCGUCCUGCAGACCCUGGAGGGACAUCUGCGCUCCAUCCUCGGUGAGGCCCUGUUCAGCCUUUGAGGAGCCUCAUGGGGCCCCUAAGCCAAGGCAGGGAGGGGUGCAGGGCUGGGCAGGGGGCCUGUUUCACAGGAGUUUCAAGCUAAAACGUUUUUCCUCAAAUAUUUAA